rnacentral:lncRNA from 1 species
GAAGUGACCUCACAAUGACUCAAGCUACCACAUACUGUUCAUUGUGAAAUGCCAGUUGAAGCAUAUGUCCUGUGAGCUUAGGGGUGCUACAAGUUGACCACUGCAGCAGUAAAGAUGAUUCUGAAGAAUGGCAUGGGAUGGAUCCUUUCGAAUGCACUUGAGCAGCGGUCUCCAACCACAGGGCCACAGAGCUGGAGGUGAGCAGCAGCUGGAUCUACCAUGAAAGACUUCUGAAUCCAGGAAGAGAGACUGACUGGGCAACAUGUUAUUCAGGAGAUGGGGUCUCACCCUGUCGCCCAGGCUUGAGUACAGUAGUGCUAUCACAGCUCACUGCAGCCUUGAACUCCUGGGCUAAGGAUCCUCCUACCUGAGCCUCCUGAGUAGCUGGGACUGUAGGGUCUCCCUCUGUUGUCCAAGGCUGGAGUGUAGUAGUGCUAUCACAGCUGACUGCAGCCUCAACCUUCCAGG